rnacentral:rRNA from 1 species
UACGUAGGGACCGAGCGUUGUCCGGAUUCAUUGGGCGUAAAGAGCUCGUAGGCGGCCACUCAAGUCGAAUGUGAAACCUCGAGGCUUAACCUCGAGCCUGCAUUCGAUACUGGGCGGCUAGAGUCUGGUAGGGGGAUCUGGAAUUCCUGGUGUAGCGGUGGAAUGCGCAGAUAUCAGGAGGAACACCGAUGGCGAAGGCAGGUCUCUGGGCUGACACUGACGCUCAUGCACGAAAGCGUGGGGAGCAAACAGG